GUCACUACGCUUCGUCGCAUCAUCGCGCUGGAGUCUGGGGAGGCGCCCAGAUAAUUGACUUUUUUCUCUUUUUUUUCCCCGCCAUUAAUUCAGAGGAACGUAGCACGUUUACAAAAUCUGCAUUUAUUUUUUAAUUUCUGAGGAUCAUCGUCUCUUGUUAUCCAGUCAGCGGUGUGGAUACGUAUUGUUAUACAAAAAGGGCUGUGAAGAAAACAAGGUCCUUGUAAAUACUCGGUCAAGUGACUUUGCAGAAAAAACAUGUCAUCACACUAUCAAGAGUCAAUGUGCGUUAUGGAGGGAGAAUCAGUCACUCUAAA